UACAUACAGAUACAAGAAUGCCCGAUCACCAGCUGCAUUAGCCAUUGGUAACCUGAAGACCAAGAGCUCCCCGAGCAGGCAGAGGCCACGCGCACGGUCGGUCAUGGCGGCGGAUGCGGCCUCCUUCCUGCUCCAGCUUCUGUGGGAGGUGCUGUUGUGCUGUUGCCCCCGCCGGCCAGGUCAAGAUGCAGCGCCCAGCCAAGGUGACAUGCGCGAGAGUACUCCUACGGAGCAACCGGUGGACGACGUGGUCCAGUUGCAGCGAGAUCUUACAAGCCCCAGCUCCCCAUCCCAACCCAAGGAAACAGACAAACAAUUCAGGCAUCACGGCCAACCACCGACUGCGCAUGGCGGUGGUGGCAGCCAUCACCACUGAAAACUGAAAGGGGGGACAUAUACAUACUGAAGGAUCUGUGGUAGUGAAGUUGUUGGACGGCAAUUAAGGAAGACGACACAUGUUGCUAAUCACAAUGGAGGUUUCAUGAGUUGUUUCAUGUAUUAAUUAGUCUGCCACAUCAGCUAUUUGGAUGAUAUGUCACAUCAUUUAAGAAGGGAGAGUUUUAUGGAGUUUCAUGGGGAUGAAACCAUGUUAACUCGUUUCUAAGGUCUUAGAAACUGUGUGAAAUCUCCACUGAAAGUAUUUUGUUUCAUCUUCAUAUAA